AUGAGGUCCGCCGAGUUGAGGUCGCUCCACCGGCUCUUGAACACGCUGUCAGACACCACGAUGCGGUGCCGGUGCCGGUCCAGCUCCACCUUGUUACAAGAAUCAUCGGCAGCACCGGCAUCAUCAUCACCGAAGCGCGCCGACGGCACGCGCUCGACAAAGAUGCCGGCGAGGAGGUCGCGGCCGGACCCUGCUGACGACGGCACUGCCGCACCGACAGUAGCGUCGUCGCCUGCUGCGCCGAAGACGAAUCGCGCGCUGGCGGCGGCGUACUUGAGGCCGAGGUCGGCGUCGUCGGGGUGGACGCGGGCGCGGCAGAGCGGGCAGCUGGCGCUGGAGUGCAGCCAGCGGUCGACGCAGUCGAGGUGGAAGGCGUGGCGGCAGCGCGGGAGCAGGCGGAGCAGGUCGGCGUCGUCGAAGCGGGCCAGGCACACGGCGCACUCCAGCCCCUGCCGCGCCCCGCGCAGCGCCGCGAACCGGAAGAAGGGCAGCGACUCGAUCACCGCCUUGCCCACGCCGGCGCCCGCCUCCUCCAAGGCCGCCGCGGCCUCUGCCGUUGUUGCAGGUGGGCGGGACGGGCUGGCGGUGGUGGCGGGGAGGAGUGGCGUGUUGGCGGGGUGGCAGAACUUGGCGUACAUGAGGAGGAGGAAGGUGAGGGAGAAGAUCAUGGUGAAGAUGCCCACCACGAUGGCCACGCUCGGCCGGAACGACACCUUCACGCCCGCCCCAGGCGGCGUCUCCUCCUCCGCCGGCCGCGCAGGCGCCUGCGCGUGCGCCCGUGCGGCGAUCGUGGCGCAGAGCAGCAGGAGCAGCAGGGUUUUCGCCAUGGCCACUUACGAUCGGUCGAACGGUCGACGGCAGAGCGAUGAUCGAUGGCGGGUUUAUGUGGUCGCCCAGGUCACUAGUCACUACCGUGGAGUUGACCGCGCCAUGGAAAUGGAAAUGAAACGCAGGAGAGGUGGGAGUGGAACCGACGAUGAUGAUGAGAGAAGAAGACGAGAGAGAGGAAGAAGUAGCCGCCCGCUGAGGUCGUCGAUCACAAAUUGA
rnacentral:rRNA from 1 species